AAUAGGUGCAACCAUGAGUUUUCGCGCCUAACUUAUUUAAAAUUUUUUAUAAUUAGUAUUUUUGUUGUUAUGAGAUGAUAAAGCAUGAAUAGUACUUUACUCGUGACUUAUGUUUUUAACUUUUUUUAAAAAAUUUUUAAAUAAGACGAACGGUCAAAGUUAGAUACGAAAAACUAUGGCUGUAUUUAUU
rfam:Oryza sativa (indica cultivar-group) chromosome 8, whole genome shotgun sequence.